rnacentral:miRNA from 1 species
ACAGAUUUGUAACAAUUUGUUUGCAGACCUGUAACAACUUGUGCGUUUUUACGUGUGUAGGUUACACAAGUAAAAAUGCACAAGUUGUUGCAGGUCUGCAAACAAGUUGUUACAAAUCUGU